AUGAAUCACCAGAAGCUACAUUCUACCGUAAACGCUGUUCUUAGUGGAAGAUGUACUUCUUUGAUACUACCUUCUCUAAUGGUCCCUGUGUUCUUGGAACAGUUGCCUCCUGUGAACAGCAAUGACCAUGCCAGUCUCCAUACGGUGUGCAGCUUGAUGAAAUGUUCCAACCCUUUGAAUCCUGUCAUCUAUGAGGCUCAGCACAGGUUGAAGUGGUUCUGAUCUGGAGGGACUUCUUGGGACUCAGACCCUCCUUUCUGAAACACCUAAAAGCUUCUGGGGGUCUGGAGCUUACAAGCAGCUCAGAACUGUCCAGCCUUUCUGAAGCUGUUGCCUGCCAUGAGCUGGGGAGCGUGCCUGUCAACCCACGUCUGGAUUUGAAAAGGUACACUGCUAUGUAUCUGUGCAAGACAGCUGAGAAGCGUUUGGGGUAGAGCAAGAGAGAGAUCUGUCCCACCCCACUUGGAUUGCACUGUUUUCAUUGUUUAAUUCUGGGGUAGAGUCUACAUAAUUUUAAUUAAGUAACAGGUACUUUGCUGUUGCUCUGGAAUUACAUUAGUACCAGCAACAUCAGACCUGAGCCCGUCCCUCUUCUUUUUCUCCUCCUUUAUUUUUAAAUUUGAG
rnacentral:lncRNA from 1 species